rnacentral:rRNA from 1 species
UUCGAAGCAACGCGAAGAACCUUACCAGGUCUUGACACUCCGAUGCUAUUCUAGAGAUAGAAAGUUACUUCGGUACAUCGGUGACAGGUGGUGCAUGGUUGUCGUCAGCUCGUGUCGUGAGAUGUUGGGUUAAGUCCCGCAACGAGCGCAACCCUUGUCAUUAGUUGCCAUCAUUUGGUUGGGCACUCUAAUGAGACUGCCGGUGACAAACCGGAGGAAGGUGGGGAUGACGUCAAGUCCUCAUGGCCCUUAUGGGUAGGGCUUCACACGUCAUACAAUGGUCGGUACAGAGGGUUGCCAACCCGCGAGGGGGAGCUAAUCCCACAAAGCCGAUCGUAGUCCGGAUCGCAGUCUGCAACUCGACUGCGUGAAGUCGGAAUCGCUAGUAAUCGUGGAUCAGCAUGUCACGGUGAAUACGUUCCCGGGUCUU